rnacentral:rRNA from 1 species
GGCCACAGCCAUAUGAUCCUGCAGCCCAAGACCGGUUACUGACUAAAGCUAAGUAGGGCUGAGCCUAGUCAGUACCUGGAUGGGAGACCACAUGGGAAAAAGGUUGCUGUUGGAA